GAAGUGCAUCCAACUUCUGCAGUCAGCAGUACUGUGUGAUGAAUGUCACCAUAACCUAGAGAGAAGAUAAUGAAAUGUAUUAAUUUCUUCCAACAGUUAAAUGCUACCAUGGCCUGGAAAGCGCUCAGAGCUAGUUGGUAAAAUUUACAUUAAGCAGUGUCAGGUCUUAGAUUAUCAUCUACAGUAAAACAACUACAAAGAGCAGGAAAGUAGAUGUAUGAUCUGAAUGUUUAUCUGCCAUUUACAGAUGGUGUGAUAUGUUAAAUCUAGGAUCGUCACGGAUUUUUGAUUAUCAGUCUAGUAUGGAACCUACUGCUAUUGAUACUGUUAGCUCAAAAGGGAGAAUUUUCAGAUGUGAAGUCCAGGAAGCCAAGAGAUUACAGAAAUAUAAUAGCAGAAAAUGUGGCCCAAGAUCAUGUUUUCAAUCUGAUAACCUUGUUGUGGGCAUAAUAUGUGAAGCAAAGGUUGUGCCAAAGAAUGUAUCUAAUUGGUUUUGGCCUAUACUGCACAGUUUAAUAUGGUGUGUCAUUAUCCCUCCAAUGUACAGCUGAAUAGAUAACUUAUUUUACAUCUGCAAUUAUGUAACUGCCUGCGCAAUGACAUGAAGAAGCUCUAGUGCAGCUUUUAGAUGAUCUAAUUUGGAGCUUGCUUCUAUGUAGAGAGAUUGUAAUGUAAUGGUUUUCCUUUUCAAAUUUUACCUUCCAAAAAAGAGUUGCAGUUUGAUUGUGCUGAGUUGCUAGAAUUCCUCACCAGGAGCUCUGAUUUCUUUCUUGAAACAAAUUCAUUCCAUCACCAGUCAUCUAUAAUGUUUUAUUUUCUAAUAAACAUAGUGAUUGGAGUCAAACUGGCAAAAAUGUCUCCACUUACUGUCAGUCUAGCAAGAGCAGCAGCCGUGAAAAGUACUCUAUGCUAUUUCCUCUAGGUACAUGGCCCUGUGUUGGAAGCCCUGACGAUUUAGAUUAGAUAUUAGGCAGAAGUUCUUCCCUGUGAGGGUGCUGAAGCACUGGCACAGGGUGCCCAGAGAAGCUGUGGCUGCCCCAUCCCUGGCAGUGUUCAAGUCCAGGUUGGACAGGGCUUGGAGCAACCUGCUCUAGCGGAAGGUGUCCCUGCCUGUGGCAGGGGAUUGGAACUGGAUGAUCUUUAAGGUCCCUUCCAACUCAAACCAUUCUGUGAUUCUGUGAUUCUAUGACAAAGCGCUUUUGUGCCUGUCAGUGAGAUGCUUUAGACUUUUCUCUGGGAAGAAGAGAAAAAUAUUAACCGAAAGUCUGGUGGUUUAGUGAUUCUGUCUCUGGCAGUUCAGAAGAGAUGAACCGACUUAUGACUGCAGAAUAGCUGCUACUGCUGGUACUGUAGGAUUUUUGUUUGGGCUGUCUUCUCCUUUCUUGCCCACUCAAAGAAUAUUGGUGUCCACUCAGGAAGCAGUAUGUUACAGUCAAGAGUUGCCAUGCCAGCAGAUGGCACCAAUUCUCUUUCCAGAUCUUCGCUGGUCAAACAGGUCGGGAGUUCCAGAAUACCUCAAGCUGUUUAAAAACACUGGCAUCUUUGCCCUUUUCUUUUGCUCUUUCUGAGUGUGAAAUUUGGACCAAGAAGGCAGCAGACUGAGAAAAUGUCUGAAUCCCUUGGAAUGUGGCACUGCUGCCAAGUACAGCCAUGCCAGGAAAACACAGGCAGAUCAACCAGCAAAUGUGACCCAGGGCUAGGAGUUGAGGGAAAGGAGGUUUACUUUUGCCCAAGGAUGGUCAAAAGUAAAAGUGGGACUAUUUUAGGGAAUUAUUGAGAAGGAAUUGGAGAACCAUGGAGAGAGGAGAAUGAAACAUGAGGAUUCCAGGGAAGAUGGAGAAGUCUUGGGUAGCCAAAGAGCAAUGACAGUCCACCUUGUUGAGGGAGAGCGGUGGUCUGUCCAGCUCAGCACACUCCCCUUGGAAGAAGGCACUCCUCAAUGUUUCCUUGUAGGGGAGAUCUGCAGUGCUUCUAUAAAGUUGCAAGAGGAAAUUAAGCCAGAACAGGGCUGAGGAAGCCUCUAUUCUGAAAUCACCAUGGCAAAAAUCUCUUGCAGAUAAUACAGUUUUCUUUAUCCUCAAAUGCACCCUUGUUCGUCAUUAGAAGGGAACAUAUUCUGCAGCUCUGUGCCACCAUAUGGGCCAUGGGGAGAGAUGAGCCAGGCUCCCAUCGUGCAUUAUAACAUAAAGGAAACAUUGCUUCCUGGCUGCAAAGAGAUGGUCAAAACAAAAACACAUGGGUAGAAGCGUAACACUAUUUUAAAAGGCAUAACUCUGAAUAAAGCCUGGAGGCAAAUGGAUUCCUCAUG